rnacentral:rRNA from 1 species
UCCGCCCGGGUACUACGAGCUUUAGCUUAAAACCCAAAGGACUUGGCGGUGCCCUAUUCCACCUAGAGGAGCCUGUUCUCUAAUCGAUAACCCACGAUAUACCUAACCAUUUCUUGCCUAAACCGCCUAUAUACCGCCGUCGUCAAUUUACCCUUUGAAGGACUCAUAGAAAGUUUAAAGGUUCCCGCCAAAACGUCAGGUCAAGGUGUAGCGAAUGAAAUGGGAAGUAACGGGCUACAUUUUCUAACAUAGACUAUACGGAUAAUCAAUAUGAAAUCUGAUCAUGAAGGAGGAUUUAGUAGUAAAAGGAAAUCAGCAAGUUCUUUUUAACAUGGCCCUAGGGCGCGCACACACCGCCCGUCACCCUCUUCAACUCUUUUAACUAUUUACUUAAUAAACUAUUUUUAAACAAGAAGAGGUAAGUCGUAACAUGGUAAGUAUACCGGAAGGUGUACUUGGA